GUUGAUGUUGAUUGACAUGCCUUUAAAAGAACCCAGCAUAUACAGAUAACUUUGAACAACUCCAGGAUUAGGGGAGCUAACCCUCCAUGAAGAUGAAAAUCUGCAUAUCAGUAGAUCUCUGCAGUUCAAACCCAUAUUGUUCAAGGGUCAACUAUAACUGUUCUUAAAUAUUUGUUGAACAAAUCCUAAAAUCUGUGAUGCAUCACUGAAUUUCAGGCACAAAUAACAUUUUAAAUUGUUUUUAUAUCAUGAGUAUUUACUUUUAAUGAACUCUUCAUAAAAUUUCUCCUUUACCCUUGGUUUAGAAGCUGAACUACACUGCAGGUAAAAAGUGUUCCAGACAUUUAUUGUUCCUCAGGUGGAGUUCUAUAAAUGUCUGGCAAUGGAAUUGCUUUGUUAUCCUCAGAUAAGCCCUUUGAUACAAAAAUAAUCUCCCACUAAAGUUAUAAAAAAGAUUUCAGAAUCAGAUACUGAAAAAAAUCCCAUUGCCCACCAAGCUCGUACUCUGAAAGUAUCAUACAUACACGAGGGACCCUGAUAGUCAGGGUGAUAUGGAAUACUCAGAGCUACUUCCUUCUUCUUCCUUAGUAUGAGAAAACCCUGAUUAUGUGUCUAGCUCCAGAGAAUGGAUAGUGAUUGGUCUAAGCCAGUUAAGGGCAUCGUGUCCCUCAUUUUUACAUCAUGGCUCCAUUCUGGCCACUAAGAGUCCAGCAGAAGACUUCUUGGGCAUUUUUACAAAAGCAUUUUCUCUCCUAGUAACCAGGAAGAUGCAGUUGGCUCCACCUCUUCCUCCCUGCAUCAAAUGCAAAUAUGAUGGCUGGAACCACAGCAGUCAUAUUAUAUAACCAACUGAGUGAGGCCAGGGAUGGAACCCACAACUUCAUGGUUCCUAGUCGGAUUCGUUCCACUGUGCCAUGACGGGAACUCCCAACACACACCUUUUAAAAUUACACUUGGUGAGGGGAGUUCCCGUUGUGGAGCAUGGGGUUGUGGGUUUGAUCCCUGGUCUCGCUCAGUGAAUUAGGAAUCCGGUGUUGCCAUGAGCUGUGGUGUAGUUUGCAGAAGCGGCUCAGAUCUGGCAUUGCUGUGGCUCUGGUUUAGGCCGGUAGCUACAGCUCCGAUUCGACCCCUAGCCUGGGAACCUCCAUAUUCCACAGGUGCGGCCUUAAAAUAGGCAAAAAAAAAAAAAAAAAUUUACACUUGGUGAAAUCAAAGAUAAACACUGGCCAAGUUCACCAAAACAACCCAGCUUAAUUAGCAUUACAAAAAUGUUCUGGAUAGAAACACAGCUUGGUAUAAUAUUGGAAUAAUCACUGAUACAAGAAACAGGAACCAUCAAUUCCAGCUCUAAGGACCAAUAAUGUUGUCAUCUAGGCAAGUCACUAUUCUUCUGUGAGCCUUAUUUUUUCAUCUACACGAUGAAGGAGUUAAACUGGGUAACCUUAGGGUACCUUCAGAUUUGAUACUCUGUAUAAACUGUGAACUGGCAUAAAUUAUUUUAAGAAACUGACAAAAUUUUUCUGUGGCCUCCUAAUUUGCUGGCUGCUCUCCAGCUGCAACAGUUGACAUUCUAAUGCCUUACUUCAGUCUGAGAGAACAGAUCUACUUGCAAUUCCUCAUAUGUCCAUCCUGUCCUUUCCAAGUGCUUUGGAAUAAAUGUGGAGGCAGCUUGAUACCAGGCACCACAGAUGCAACAUGGGGUCCAGAUAUGUUUUCCAGGUGGAAGACACCUCCCAUAGUAUCCAAAGACCAAGGCCUGCCAUCUUUCAGAAUUGCUGGACCAUAAAUGAAAUGACUGAACAUGCCCCUAAACUCACCCGUUGCAUGGUAGCCAGUUAUCCCCUCUUUUUUUCAAAAGGAGCACGAUCUUUUUGUGCCUUUGCCCUUGAUCUUUCAUGCAGGGAAGAUUAAACUCUCCACAAUAGGUGGCUUUCUUAGUUCCUCAUCCUGUUAUGCUGCUUGCAUAUUCAUUACUGUCCAGGCUACAGUGUUAUUAUUCCAUGAUUUAGCUUGUUUUGUGCUGUCUGGUGAAUUCUCAAUGAGGCAACAAGGCUGGAUACUUUGGUGGUUUUUCAAAGGGCACCCUGAUGUCCUUUUAUGUCCCUCACCAGGUUACACAGAACCAUUCACACGCACAAGGCCUGUCAAAGCCCCUGUAAAGAUGCAAGCAUUGAGAUGCGUAAAGUUUGAGGUAUGGAGAAUCAGAAACCAAAAGGACAUGUCCUGACUUCAGGAGCCUACGAGCAAGUCAAGUGUGUCUACUGGUCUGUGAAUUGAAAACUGUAUUACAGGGCUAGAAGGGUAGCACAGAACUCUGUCUAUGGCACCAUAAACCCUGAGGAGGGCCACUUAACUGAAUAGAGGAGUUGGGGGAGGGGAGAUUCAGAGCAGCCCUCCUCCGUCCUCUCCCCAGUGGAAGCCCAUUACUUGUCAAGUUUGGACAGCAGGCUGGCAAAUUUCAGUGUACGCACAGAGGGAUGGCUGCUGAUUUUUUUAAUCCCACUUCCCUCCCUCCUCUACCCCUCUUCUCUCUAUUCUCUCCACUUUUCCACUUGACCUCACUUCCUCGAUAGUCCUGGCUUAUGUGGGGGAAAGCUGGCAUUCUACAGACUGCCCCCCUGCCAAACAGGCUGCCCGACUCCCUCCACAUGGUCUAACCUCUCACCUGGAGCCCAUCUUGGCCCUCCUCCCAGGCAUGACAUGUGUCCUCUGACAGCCCAAGGUGUUUGUGAUCAUAAAUUUAUUUCUGGAUCAUCUCCCAACACUGUGGAAACUAGAAAUGCAGGACCCAGCCAACCAAGGCUUGACAGUGCACUGGCAGUUUCCAAAUGAGCAGAGGGGUGGAAGACUAUUGUGGGACUUUGGAAGGAGUUGGCGGGGAGUGGAAAGAGCCUUGGAGUCAGCGAAGUGCAAGUACAGAAACAGUGGCCAGGAGGGUGGGGCUGGUGGGAGUCCAUCAGGGGACUCACACCUUGUUCCCAAUACUGGUAGCCCUUCAAGGCAGUGGAGGGACAAAAAACCAACAGGAAACCAAAGAGAAGAAGAUCCCAAAUGAGGAAAGGGCUGGAGAAUAAGGGGAAAAGGAGGAAGGGAAGUUAGUGGCCAGGUGUUAACGUGGGUCCUCCUAGGAUGAUGUGAAGCACCCUCCGAGAGAGGGGCUUCCUCUGCAUCAGCGUUGACAGGUAAGAGACAGUAGAUUUCUCCAGGUGCCUGGUAGCUCAAGAUGACUUCCUGACAAAUGACAGUGAGGGCUAUCAAUGGUCAAAUUCUGGGGAGGGUCAGAUUCUUCUCUCUCAAGGAUUUUAAAAAGAAGACCCUAACCCUAUCCCUGAUGGCUUACAGUGGUCCAUCUCAGAGCCAAAGGUGGCUAAGUGUAUGCCUGGGUUUCCCUCCAGACUUCAGAUGCUCUAUUUCUACCAAGUGGUGUCUGUUUGGAAGAAGUUGUAUGGUCUCUAAUUCCAUUCUAAAACCAAAGGUGUUAAAUACAUGUUCACUGUAAAACUCCAACCACUCCACUAAUAUUAAUAAUUUUCACCUCCUUUCCCCUUUAAAGUUAGAAACCAGAAUUCUAAUUUAUUCAAAACAAGGAUAUCAGUCAAGUAGAAUGACUUAUUUGGGUCAUUUUACAUUAGACAGUCUCCCUUAAGAAGUAAACUGAUGAACUUGUUUCAUAUUUUAACUUAUAAAAAGUAUUUUUAGAGAAAAGGAAAGCCCCCCCUACACUGUGGGUAGGAAUGUAAAUUGGUACAACCACUAUGGAGAACAGUGUGGAAGUUCCUCAGAAAACCACUCACAGACUUUGAAAAACUCAUGGUUUCCAAAGGAGAAAGUUUGGGGGGUGGUAUGAUGCACUGGGGGUGUGUGAUGGAAAUCCCACAAAAUUAGAUUGUGAUGAUCAUUGCACAACUAUAAAUGUAAUAAAUUCAUUUAUUAAUAAAAAAUAAAAUAAAAUAAAAUAAAAUAAAAUAAAAUAAAAUAAAAUAAAAAUAGAACUACCUUAUGUUCCAGCAAUCCUGGGCAUAUAUCCAGACAAAACUACAAUUCAAAAAGAUAUAUGAAAAAAAAAAAAAAAAA
ensembl:lncRNA